rnacentral:lncRNA from 1 species
CUCAGGUGGCUUUUGCCAAACCUCCCUUCUCCUUGAGACCCUGCACUGUCCUCUACAGCUUGGAGUCAAGCUUAUAUCGUAUAACUCUUUUUAUCAGGUGUCCUCUUUCUAGCAUAGUCCCCAAAGUACAAUUAGAAUGAAGCAGCAGGUGAGCGCUGUCAUUCACUUACCUGGCCUGACUUGUAUUUUACACUUGUGGAGACCUCCAGGCUGAAUGACCCCCAUCUCCUGACUCACCACCCAACUUCCCACGUCUUCAGAAGUGAAUGUUUUGUGCGAUGUUAAGAAUCCCUCUGACAAGUUAGAAUUAACAAUAAAACUAUUUUAAGAUAACCUGCCUAAAAGCUGGUGCCUGAGUUUCCCUAUGUUAUCAAGUCAGUUUAACGUGCUGUGUAGCUGACUUGGAAUUCAAGCAUUCAAGUCAAAAAACCCCAUAUGUAAGAGUAGGAUAGAACCAAGUAUUCCAUUCAUCAAUUAAUCCUCCUCCCG